CUCGCUCUUUAUUGUUCUGCUCCAAAAGAUAUUUUCUUCCCUUGAUAUCAACUGAAGAUUCAGUUCAUGUCUCGAUCUAAAUCGAUCUAAAAUCGAUCUUCAGUUGCAGUCUUGUAAUCGAUCUGGGUUUGUCAAGGUUGAAAAGGUGAACUACUUUGAAGAAAAAACUCUGAAGAACUGAAGAACAUAGAAAGUGCAGGUAUUUGGGCUUAAGUCAAAAAGCAGUACUCUGGUGAUAUUUUAGAAGCAGUUGAAUCUUUAGAUUGGUUAAGCAAGUGGAGUCUGGUGAUACUUCUGGUGAUAUUUAGUCUUUCUUUCCCUGUUUUUCAAUGCCUCUGUCAGUUGACACAAACUAGGUUACCCAUCCAUUUUAAAAACAUCAACAUAGAUCGAACAUUGUAUGCCAGUUACAACAUACAUAAGUUUACUUGUGUACAUUCAAUUGAAGAAUCCUUUCUUUUAUGAUAAUAUUA